AACGAACGCUGGCGGCAUGCCUAACACAUGCAAGUCGAACGAGACCUUCGGGUCUAUUGGCGCACGGGUGCGUAACGCGUGGGAACCUGCCCUUAGGUUCGGAAUAACUCCCCGAAAGGGGUGCUAAUACCGGAUAAUGUCUUCGGACCAAAGAUUUAUCGCCUUUGGAUGGGCCCGCGUUGGAUUAGCUAGUUGGUAGGGUAAAAGCCUACCAAGGCGACGAUCCAUAGCUGGUCUGAGAGGAUGAUCAGCCACACUGGGACUGAGACACGGCCCAGACUCCUACGGGAGGCAGCAGUGGGGAAUAUUGGACAAUGGGCGAAAGCCUGAUCCAGCAAUGCCGCGUGAGUGAUGAAGGCCUUAGGGUUGUAAAGCUCUUUUACCCGGGAUGAUAAUGACAGUACCGGGAGAAUAAGCGCCGGCUAACUCCGUG
rnacentral:rRNA from 1 species